rfam:Lepisosteus oculatus linkage group LG4, whole genome shotgun sequence.
GCCAGUAGCCAUAUCACCCUGUAGCUCACACUGAAGCUCAGCAUGUGUGAGCCUGGUCAGUACCUGGAUGGGAGACCUCCUGGGAAAAACUAAGGUUGCUGCUGGAA